rnacentral:rRNA from 1 species
AUUGAACGCUGGCGGUAUGCUUAACACAUGCAAGUCGAACGGUAACAGGCAAAGCUUGCUUUGCGCUGACGAGUGGCGGACGGGUGAGUAACGCGUGGGAAUCUACCUUUUAGUGGGGGAUAGCCCGGAGAAAUCCGGAUUAAUACCGCAUAAGCCCUACGGGGGAAAGCUGGGGAUCUUCGGACCUGGCGCUAUUAGAUGAGCCCGCGUUAGAUUAGCUAGUUGGUGGGGUAAAGGCCUACCAAGGCGACGAUCUAUAGCUGGUCUGAGAGGACGAUCAGCCACACUGGGACUGAGACACGGCCCAGACUCCUACGGGAGGCAGCAGUGGGGAAUAUUGCACAAUGGGCGCAAGCCUGAUGCAGCAAUACCGCGUGUGUGAAGAAGGCCUGCGGGUUGUAAAGCACUUUCAAUCGUGAAGAAAUGUU